rnacentral:rRNA from 1 species
AUUGAACGCUGGCGGAAUGCUUUACACAUGCAAGUCGAACGGCAGCACGGGGCAACCUGGUGGCGAGUGGCGAACGGGUGAGUAAUACAUCGGAACGUGCCCAAUCGUGGGGGAUAACGUAGCGAAAGUUACGCUAAUACCGCAUACGAUCUACGGAUGAAAGCGGGGGAUCGCAAGACCUCGCGCGAAUGGAGCGGCCGAUGUCAGAUUAGGUAGUUGGUGGGGUAAAGGCUCACCAAGCCGACGAUCUGUAGCUGGUCUGAGAGGACGACCAGCCACACUGGGACUGAGACACGGCCCAGACUCCUACGGGAGGCAGCAGUGGGGAAUUUUGGACAAUGGGCGCAAGCCUGAUCCAGCCAUUCUGCGUGCAGGAUGAAGGCCUUCGGGUUGUAAACUGCUUUUGUACGGAACGAAACGGUGAGCUCUAAUACAGUUUGCUAAUGACGGUACCGUAAGAAUAAGCACCGGCUAACUACGUGCCAGCAGCCGCCGCAGUAA